rnacentral:rRNA from 1 species
AAUCCAUAGGUUAAUGAGGCGAACCGGGGGAACUGAAACAUCUAAGUACCCCGAGGAAAAGAAAUCAACCGAGAUUCCCCCAGUAGCGGCGAGCGAACGGGGAGGAGCCCAGAGCCUGAAUCAGCAUGUGUGUUAGUGGAAGCGUCUGGAAAGGCGCGCGAUACAGGGUGACAGCCCCGUACACAAAAGCGCAUGUGCUGUGAGCUCGAUGAGUAGGGCGGGACACGUGGUAUCCUGUCUGAAUAUGGGGGGACCAUCCUCCAAGGCUAAAUACUCCUGACUGACCGAUAGUGAACCAGUACCGUGAGGGAAAGGCGAAAAGAACCCCGGCGAGGGGAGUGAAAAAGAACCUGAAACCGUGUACGUACAAGCAGUGGGAGCACCCUUUGGGUGUGACUGCGUACCUUUUGUAUAAUGGGUCAGCGACUUAUAUUCUGUAGCAAGGUUAACCGAAUAGGGGAGCCGGAGGGAAACCGAGUCUUAACCGGGCGUUAAGUUGCAGGGUAUAGACCCGAAACCCGGUGAUCUAGCCAUGGGCAGGUUGAAGGUUGGGUAACACUAACUGGAGGACCGAACCGACUAAUGUUGAAAAAUUAGCGGAUGACCUGUGGCUGGGGGUGAAAGGCCAAUCAAACCGGGAGAUAGCUGGUUCUCCCCGAAAGCUAUUUAGGUAGCGCCUCGUGAAUUCAUCUCCGGGGGUAGAGCACUGUUUCGGCUAGGGGGCCAUCCCGGCUUACCAACCCGAUGCAAACUGCGAAUACCGGAGAAUGUUAUCACGGGAGACACACGGCGGGUGCUAACGUCCGUCGUGAAGAGGGAAACAACCCAGACCGCCAGCUAAGGUCCCAAAGUCAUGGUUAAGUGGGAAACGAUGUGGGAAGGCCCAGACAGCCAGGAUGUUGGCUUAGAAGCAGCCAUCAUUUAAAGAAAGCGUAAUAGCUCACUGGUCGAGUCGGCCUGCGCGGAAGAUGUAACGGGGCUAAACCAUGCACCGAAGCUGCGGCAGCGACACUGUGUGUUGUUGGGUAGGGGAGCGUUCUGUAAGCCUGCGAAGGUGGCCUGUGAGGGUUGCUGGAGGUAUCAGAAGUGCGAAUGCUGACAUAAGUAACGAUAAAGCGGGUGAAAAGCCCGCUCGCCGGAAGACCAAGGGUUCCUGUCCAACGUUAAUCGGGGCAGGGUGAGUCGACCCCUAAGGCGAGGCCGAAAGGCGUAGUCGAUGGGAAACGGGUUAAUAUUCCCGUACUUGGUGUUACUGCGAAGGGGGGACGGAGAAGGCUAUGUUGGCCGGG